ensembl:snRNA U6 U6 spliceosomal RNA
GUGCUCCCUUUGGCGGCACAUAUGCUAAAAUUGGAAUGAUACAGAGAAAAUUAGCAUGGCCUCUGAGCAAGAAUGACACACAAAUUCAUGAAGCAUUCCAUAUAUAA